GCAAAGUCGAGCGGACAGAUGGGAGCUUGCUCCCUGAUGUUAGCGGCGGACGGGUGAGUAACACGUGGGUAACCUGCCUGUAAGACUGGGAUAACUCCGGGAAACCGGGGCUAAUACCGGAUGGUUGUUUGAACCGCAUGGUUCAAACAUAAAAGGUGGCUUCGGCUACCACUUACAGAUGGACCCGCGGCGCAUUAGCUAGUUGGUGAGGUAACGGCUCACCAAGGCGACGAUGCGUAGCCGACCUGAGAGGGUGAUCGGCCACACUGGGACUGAGACACGGCCCAGACUCCUACGGGAGGCAGCAGUAGGGAAUCUUCCGCAAUGGACGAAAGUCUGACGGAGCAACGCCGCGUGAGUGAUGAAGGUUUUCGGAUCGUAAAGCUCUGUUGUUAGGGAAGAACAAGUACCGUUCGAAUAGGGCGGUACCUUGACGGUACCUAACCAGAAAGCCACGGCUAACUACGUGCCAGCAGCCGCGGUAAA
rnacentral:rRNA from 1 species